rnacentral:tRNA from 2 species
GCGCCCGUAGCUCAGGGGAUAGAGCGCUCGCCUCCGGAGCGAGAGGUCGGAGGUUCGAAUCCUCCCGGGCGCA